GAACGUGGCGGCGCGCAUAAUGCAUGCAAGUCGAACGAAGUCCCAUCCUUCGGGGUGAUGACUUAGUGGCAGACGGCUGAGUAACACGUGAGUGAUCUGCCUUUGGGUGAGGGACAACAGAGGGAAACUUCUGCUAAUACCUCAUACGAUCCAAGAUCUAGGGUCUUGGAUGAAAGGUGCCGGGUAACUGGUUGCCGCCCUUAGAUGAGCUCGCGGCCUAUCAGGUUGUUGGUGGGGUAAUGGCCUACCAAGCCUAAGACGGGUAGCUGGUGUGAGAGCACGACCAGUCAGAGGGGGACUGAGACACGGCCCCCACUCCUACGGGAGGCAGCAGCAGGGAAUCUUCCACAAUGGGCGAAAGCCUGAUGGAGCGACGCCGCGUGAGGGAUGAAGGCUCUAGGGUCGUAAACCUCUUUUCUUAGGGAAGAGCAAGGACGGUACCUAAGGAAUAAGUGACGGCUAACUACGUGCCAGCAGCCGCGGUAAUACGUAGGUCACAAACGUUGUCCGGAAUUAUUGGGCGUAAAGGGUCCGUAGGCGGUUCUGUAAGUCUCCUGUGAAAUCUUCAGGCUCAACUUGAAGAGGUCGGGGGAUACUGCUGAACUUGAGACUGACAGAGGCAAGUGGAAUUCCCGGUGUAGUGGUGAAAUGCGUAGAUAUCGGGAGGAACACCAAUGGCGAAAGCGGCUUGCUGGGUCAGUUCUGACGCUGAGGGACGAAAGCGUGGGUAGCAAACCGGAUUAGAUACCCGGGUAGUCCACGCCGUAAACGAUGAAUGCUAGGUUUUCGGGGUAUCGACCCCCUGGGAGCCGUAGUUAACGCGAUAAGCAUUCCGCCUGGGGACUAC
rnacentral:rRNA from 1 species